rnacentral:rRNA from 1 species
GGACGACGCUGGCGGCGUGGAUUAGGCAUGCAAGUCGGACGGUAGGGCUUUAUCGUAAGAUAGAGUUUGAGAGUGGCGAACGGGUGAGUAACACGUAGGAAUCUACCCUUAAGACGGGGACAACCCAGGGAAACUUGGGCUAAUACCGGAUGAGAGUGCGAGAGAUUGCAUUUAAAAGGAUGGCGAAAGUUGUCGCUUAGGGAUGAGCCUGCGGUCUAUUAGUUAGUUGGUGAGGUAAGAGCUCACCAAGGCGAUGAUAGAUAGGCGGCCUUAACGGGUGGUCGCCCACACUGGGAUUGAGAUACGGCCCAGACUCCUACGGGAGGCAGCAGUCGAGAAUAGUCUACAAUGGCCGGAAGGCUGAUAGUGCGACGCCGCGUGAACGAGGGAGCCCUUCGGGGUGUAAAGUUCUUUUAUAUGUGAGCAGUGCUUCUUAUAUUAACAGUAUGGGGAGAGAGAUAUUAGCAUAUGAAUAAGCAACGGCUAACUCCGUG